AUAUAAUUAUUCCAAUUCUGUUCAAUAAUACAUAUGUAAAAGAAAUAUUGUAUAUUGGCUGCACAGCCACACAUGUAUCUAAAAGACGGAAUAAUGUUUAAAAACAUUUUAAGAUAGUUGUAUCUACAAGUUCCAGACAGAAUAUGCAGAAUUACUUACAAACAGUGUAUUUUAUAUACCUUUAUAUUUUAAAGCAUGAUCAAGUUACAGGUAAAGUGGUAAAGUGGGGGUGGGGUGGGGGUGGAAUCUGCCAUUGCUGCCAAGUACAGAACUCAUCUUUUUUUUCACUCUUAUAGUCAUAUUUGAGAUACUGUAUUUACUUUCUGAUGGUGUGGUGUUGUUAAUAUAUCAUAAAUAGGGUACAAUUAAAAAGACCACAAAUACAGCAGCAGAGAUAAAAGACAGUUAAAAAAGAAACAUUCCCCCCCCCCCCCCCCCCCAACGGGGUGUGGUUGAGAGGAGUGGAACAAGCAAGGACUAACACCUGGGCUUGUACCUGGCUGUGCCUUUGUGACUAAUAUUACAGCUUAGGGAAGCCAAAAAUUGCAAAACGGACAAAGUUUCCCCAAGUACCUGAAGCAGUAAUUCACCUAAUGUCUACAACAGCCAGGAAACAGAUUCCCUUUCUGCCUCAGAAGAACCCAUUUAUCUAUUUCACGGGGGAUUUGCGCAGUGUAAAGCUCCAGAAAGCCCAUGGGCUGACAUGGGGAAAUGGCAUCCAGCAGCACAGGGCAGCCCAGGCAGCCCAUCAAGAGCAAAGCCACAAAACAGAGCCAGAGGCAGCUCCAAGGCUGCCAACACAACUGCCUACAAAAGCUGCCAACGAGCCAGUAACUGCUUGUGGGAAAAUAUCACUUACCCGUAGCAUCUGGGUCCCGUGAUUACUGUCCAAAGAAACACAGACUGGUAAGAUAAUGACAGGAUAAAUAGCACUUCAUUUCUCCUAUUUCUCCCCCUUUCCUCCCACAGAUUUUUUUAUACACUACCCCACAAACCUGGGUACAAUUUUUUAAAAAUUUAGUUGUUUUAAUCUUUGUGUUACUCAUGAAGUAAAAUGAGCCUUCCUGCUUCAUCUCUAAAAAUAGCUUUUGCACGCGCUUCCCCUGGCUCCCGAUGUACGACACAUCGUGGGGCCAUUUGUUACCAUUAUUGACAUGUUUGUGGUGAACUGCAAGCGUGUUUACAGUAGAAAUGAAGUCCCUGCUCUCUUGGAGGUAAUCCUGGGGAGUCUAAAAGACUCACGGGAGUCCUUGACAUGGAUUCUCUAAAAAGAAUUUCUGUUCCCAUAUAAAUAAAUUAUCUUGGGGCCAAAUAUUUAUAUUUUCCUUCUAUUUCAGGAAGGCAGCAGAUGCAAAAGUUCCCGAUGGUUCUAGCAAUAGUGCCCUGCACAAGCUCUUUGCUAUGGGACAUGACAAUGAAUGGGAGAAAAAGAGGAAGAGAAGGGCUUUGCACUUACUCCUUGCAGUGUAAUAGAAUGAGAAAUGGGGCUUUUGCCACAAGAUUAAAAUAUGAAAAUUGCAUCACGUGCACAUGAGUGGAGCUUCAGCCAAGUGAUCAGCACUAUCACAGCAGCGUCAUCGUUUUCUCCAGCAUCCUCUUCAUCUUGUUUAUGAAAAUUGCAUACUGUAACAUAAACUUUCAGAAGGAAUGUAUCAUUACAAGAGCUGCCCUGACAAGAAGCCCUCAUUCAGAUCAUUAAUAUCUUCCCCCAAAAAUUCAUCAGGGACAGAGAAACACCUGUACAGCUGCACCAGAUGUUUCUUAAUAGUUCUGCUUGUGUUGCUGUCUGAUAUUGAUCAGUUCAAUGCUAUUCCUUAGCUACUAGAUCUAAAAUCAUUUACAAGCUCCUUAUUGUUAGGGCUUUGCUCAGCUGAAGUUGCAAAAGCGCAGUGGCACAUGCACUUUCUUAAUUGCACAAUGGAUUUUUAAAAAGCAGUAAAAGUAAAUACUCUGAUGCAUAGUAAAUGACUGUUCAUUCUCUCCAGUAACCAAAAUAAAACAUAUUCCAACCAUAUGCUUGGAAGAGAGAUAGGUAAUAUACGCUAAGAAACAGCAGAAAAUAUUUUCCAACUGCCCAAGUUCCUGGUUUUAGAGCAGUAAUUUUCUUCAGCACUUGAAAAAGAAAUCUUUGCUCAGGGUUGACUUGGUGCUGUUUUCUGUAUAAUAUGCUCAUGUACAUAAUGGAGAGCAAGCAUUACAUGCAACAUCCUUGCAAGCAUCAACUUUAUCUACCAGUCCUCCCAGGCAGGGUAUCCUCUCACUUGUCAAUGAACUGAAUCUUCUAUUAAAAACUGAGUUGAACAAAGAAAAA